UUCUUUAUGAAUUUUAUAUAAAGUAAUUUCUGCCCAAUGAAUAAUUUUAUUUAAAUGGCUGCAGUAUAUUGACUGUACAAAGGUAGCAUAGUAAUUAGUUUUUUAAUUGGAAACUUGUAUGAAAGGAUACAUGAGAAAUUUUCUUUAUUAAUUUUAAAAUUAAAAUUUUAUUUUUUGGUAAAAAAGCUAAAUUGUUUUUUAGGGACGAUAAGACCCUAUAGAAUUUAAAAUUUAUUUUAAUUAAGAUAUUUUUUAGAUUAAUUUUGUUUUUUUAAUUUAAAUUUUUAAUUGGGGUGAUUAAUAAACUUAAUAUCUUUUUUUUAUAAAUUCAUAUAUAUAUAUGUUUUUUUUGAUCCUUAAAUUUAAGAUUGUAAGAUAAAUUACCUUAGGGAUAACAGCGUAAUUUUAAUGGAAAGUUCAUAUUUAAAUUAAAGUUUGCGACCUCGAUGUUGAAUUAAGAGUAAUUUAUGGUGUAGAUGCUAUGAUUUUAAGUCUGUUCGACUUUUAUAAUCUUACA
rnacentral:rRNA from 1 species